AUGGGCCCCAUAGAUUUAAUCUAAUGGGCCCCAUAGAUCCAACCCCAAAUGGGCCCCAUAGAUCCAAUCUAAUGGACCCCAUAGAUCCAACCCCAAAUGGACCCCAUAGAUCCAAUCUAAUGGACCCCAUAGAUCCAACCCCAAAUGGACCCCAUAGAUCCAACCCCUAUGGGCCCCAUAGAUCCAACCCCAUGGGCCCCAUAGAUCCAAUCUAAUGGGCCCCAUAGAUCCAACCCCAUGGGGCCCCAUAGAUCCAACCCAAAUGGGCCCCAUAAGAUCAACCCUAAAUGCGACCCCAUAGAUCCAACCCCAGUGGGCCCAUAGAUCCAACCCCAUGACCCCAUAGAUCCAACCCCAAAUGACCGCCAUAGAUCCAACCCAUAGAUUCCACCCUUAUGGGCCCCAUAGAUGUCCAAUCUAAAUGUGACCCCAUAGAAUCCAACCCCAUAGAUCCAACCCUAUGGGCCCCAUAGAUCCAACCCCAUAGAUCCAACCCUAUGGGCCCCAUAGACACUCACCCCCCCCCCAACCCAUAUAGAUACUCACCCCACAGAUCAGACGCACGGAGCCCUAAAAAUAUUCACCCUACAGACCCCAUAGACCCCAAUAAAGAUGAGCCCCACACACCCCA
rnacentral:lncRNA from 1 species